AAAUUGAAGAGUUUGAUCAUGGCUCAGAUUGAACGCUGGCGGCAGGCCUAACACAUGCAAGUCGAACGGUAACAGGAAGCAGCUUGCUGCUUCGCUGACGAGUGGCGGACGGGUGAGUAAUGUCUGGGAAACUGCCUGAUGGAGGGGGAUAACUACUGGAAACGGUGGCUAAUACCGCAUAACGUCGCAAGACCAAAGAGGGGGACCUUCGGGCCUCUUGCCAUCAGAUGUGCCCAGAUGGGAUUAGCUAGUUGGUGAGGUAACGGCUCACCAAGGCGACGAUCCCUAGCUGGUCUGAGAGGAUGACCAGCCACACUGGAACUGAGACACGGUCCAGACUCCUACGGGAGGCAGCAGUGGGGAAUAUUGCACAAUGGGCGCAAGCCUGAUGCAGCCAUGCCGCGUGUAUGAAGAAGGCCUUCGGGUUGUAAAGUACUUUCAGCGGGGAGGAAGGUGUUGUGGUUAAUAACCGCAGCAAUUGACGUUACCCGCAGAAGAAGCACCGGCUAACUCCGUGCCAGCAGCCGCGGUAAUACGGAGGGUGCAAGCGUUAAUCGGAAUUACUGGGCGUAAAGCGCACGCAGGCGGUCUGUCAAGUCGGAUGUGAAAUCCCCGGGCUCAACCUGGGAACUGCAUUCGAAACUGGCAGGCUUGAGUCUUGUAGAGGGGGGUAGAAUUCCAGGUGUAGCGGUGAAAUGCGUAGAGAUCUGGAGGAAUACCGGUGGCGAAGGCGGCCCCCUGGACAAAGACUGACGCUCAGGUGCGAAAGCGUGGGGAGCAAACAGGAUUAGAUACCCUGGUAGUCCACGCCGUAAACGAUGUCUACUUGGAGGUUGUGCCCUUGAGGCGUGGCUUCCGGAGCUAACGCGUUAAGUAGACCGCCUGGGGAGUACGGCCGCAAGGUUAAAACUCAAAUGAAUUGACGGGGGCCCGCACAAGCGGUGGAGCAUGUGGUUUAAUUCGAUGCAACGCGAAGAACCUUACCUGGUCUUGACAUCCACAGAACUUUCCAGAGAUGGAUUGGUGCCUUCGGGAACUGUGAGACAGGUGCUGCAUGGCUGUCGUCAGCUCGUGUUGU
rnacentral:rRNA from 1 species